GUGAGCAAACAGAUCAGAGGUGUGUUGUAGAUGAGAGAGACACAACCGUUCUACCUGCCAGGUGGCUCUCCAGGUGUGUCCUGUGAUUCCCCACGCUCGCCUGCAGGCUGCACUGUUGCCGUGGUUAUCUCCCAGGCUACCACAGCAGGCAAUUCAAACAGGUUGUGUCAACACUGCAGGUAGACACUGAAUCCGCACCAGCCAAGGCUGAAAACGGUUGCAGCCGUGAGAACUGUGGACUCUGAGAAGCAAGGAAAGGAGCCCACUCAGAGCUCCAAGAGUGCGCAUGCGUGGAGGACCACCUACUGAAGCAUGGCUAUCUUUCACGGACACAUUCCUGAAGAAAACAGAUGCUGGUGCCAGGCCAAGGAAAGGACCAGGAACGAGGUUCUCCACACAUCCUCCAUCCGUGCGUUCCAGGGCUCGUGGGUUUGCUUCAGCCAAAACCUCGAACGAGCCACAUCCUUGUGUUCUUGACUGUGAUGAGGUCUUUUAUUGCAUUUAUAAAUGUUCCCCCUGGGGCUAUUACUCAAAAGGGUUCAU
rnacentral:lncRNA from 1 species